rnacentral:rRNA from 1 species
GAAUAUUGGACAAUGGGGGCAACCCUGAUCCAGCAAUGCCGCGUGUGUGAAGAAGGCCUGCGGGUUGUAAAGCACUUUCAGUAGAGAAGAAAAGCCUAAGGUUAAUAACCUUGAGUCUUGACGUAACCUACAGAAGAAGAACCGGCUAACUCCUGCCCUGCAGCCGCGGUCAUACGGAGGGUGCAAGCGUUAAUCGGGAUUACUGGGCGUAAAGCGCACGUAGGCGGUAUGUUAAGUUGGAUGUGAAAGCCCCGGGCUCAACCUGGGAAUUGCAUUCAAAACUGGCAUGCUAGAGUAUGUGAGAGGGGGGUAGAAUUCCAAGUGUAGCGGUGAAAUGCGUAGAGAUUUGGAGGAAUACCAGUGGCGAAGGCGGCCCCCUGGCACAAUACUGACGCUCAGGUGCGAAAGCGUGGGGAGCAAACAGG